GGGGUGUAGCUCAGUUGGUUAGAGCGCUGGCCUGUCACGCCAGAGGCCGCGAGUUCGAGUCUCGUCACUCC
rnacentral:tRNA from 1 species